UCAUCUUUCUCAGCCUUUUGGCUAAGACAAAAUGUAAUAUUUGUUCUUAUUAUCAGUUCAAUGUCUCAUAUGUGGACCAUAUGUUCACUUUAAUAUUAAAUUUAUUUUUUAUAGGUAUCAAAUAUAAUUAUGUGAUGCAAGUCUCUACUACUUUAAAACACCAGUUUCAUUCAUCGUGCGACAUUGCGAAGCGCGUAGUUAGUUUGGUCCUCU
rnacentral:snRNA from 1 species